rnacentral:rRNA from 1 species
CCUACGGGAGGCAGCAGUGGGGAAUAUUGCACAAUGGGCGAAAGCCUGAUGCAGCAACGCCGCGUGAGCGAAGAAGGCUUUCGGGUCGUAAAGCUCUGUCCUCAGGGAAGAAAAUGACGGUACUUGAGGAGGAAGCCCCGGCUAACUACGUGCCAGCAGCCGCGGUAAUACGUAGGGGGCGAGCGUUAUCCGGAUUUACUGGGCGUAAAGGGGGCGCAGGUGGUAUCUGAAGUCAGAGGUGAAAGGCUACGGCUCAACCGGAGGAAGCCCUUGGAACUGGGAAACUUGAGUGCAGGAGAGGCGGGUGGAAUUCCUAGUGUAGCGGUGAAAUGCGUAGAUAUUAGGAGGAACACCAGUUGCGAAGGCGGCUCUCUGGACUGUAACUGACGCUGAGGCACGAAAGCGUGGGGAGCAAACAGGAUUAGAUACCCGGGUAGUC